GUGGCUUCCGGAGCUAACGCGUUAAAUCGACCGCCUGGGGAGUACGGCCGCAAGGUUAAAACUCAAAUGAAUUGACGGGGGCCCGCACAAGCGGUGGAGCAUGUGGUUUAAUUCGAUGCAACGCGAAGAACCUUACCUGGUCUUGACAUCCACAGAACUUUCCAGAGAUGGAUUGGUGCCUUCGGGAACUGUGAGACAGGUGCUGCAUGGCUGUCGUCAGCUCGUGUUGUGAAAUGUUGGGUUAAGUCCCGCAACGAGCGCAACCCUUAUCCUUUGUUGCCAGCGGUUAGGCCGGGAACUC
rnacentral:rRNA from 1 species